AAGAAUGACGAGGCCUUCACCAUCCUGGAAGGUGGUGCCCCCAGGCCCCAGGCACAUGGCAAGCUGGAUGCUGUUGAUGGAGUAAUGAAUGGUAAAUACUACCAGGAAAGUAAUAGUCCAACAGACAGUUGUGCAGCAUUUCACAAGUGGAUAGAUUGCAGUCAGAGCCUGAAAGUAUCCGUAAAUGGAGAGAAGAGCAAACAGAACGCUUGGAAGCCCUUGAUGCCAAUUCUCAGAAGCAAGAAGCAGAGUGGAAAGAAAAGGCAAUAAAGGAGCUAGAGGUGUGAUAUGUGAGAUAGGAUGAGCAACUACAGAAAACAAAAGCAAACAGGGCAGCAGAAGAAGCCUUUGUAAAUGACAUUGACCAGUUCUUCCCAGGCACUGAGUGGGAAAGUGUGGCCUGGCUGUGUAACUUUAACCCCAAGUCCAGAAGGCAGGCUAAAGACAUCUCCCAGAGGUGCUCAGUCCUCAUCUCCCUCAAGCAGGCCCCGCUGGUGC
rnacentral:lncRNA from 1 species